UUGGAGGGCAAGUCUGGUGCCAGCAGCCGCGGUAAUUCCAGCUCCAAUAGCGUAUAUUAAAGUUGUUGCAGUUAAAAAGCUCGUAGUUGAAUUUCGGGAUUAGUACGUCGGUCGUGCCUUAGGUACGUACUGGUGUUACUGGUUCCUACCUUCUGACGAACCAUCAUGUCAUUAAUUUGGUGUGGUGGGGAAUCAGGACUGUUACUUUGAAAAAAUUAGAGUGUUUAAAGCAGGCUCGCGCUUGAAUACAUUAGCAUGGAAUAAUGAAAUAGAACGUUGAUCCUAUUUUGUUGGUUUCUAGGAUUGACGUAAUGAUUAAUAGGGAUAGUUGGGGGCAUUAGUAUUCAAUUGUCAGAGGUGAAAUUCUUGGAUUUAUUGAAGACUAACUACUGCGAAAGCAUUUGCCAAGGAUGUUUUCAUUAAUCAAGAACGAAAGUUAGGGGAUCGAAGACGAUCAGAUACCGUCGUAGUCUUAACCAUAAACUAUGCCGACUAGGGAUCGGAUGAUGUUAUUUUUAAUGACUCAUUCGGCGCCUUACGGGAAAC
rnacentral:rRNA from 1 species